GAUGAACGCUGGCGGCGUGCCUAAUACAUGCAAGUCGAGCGAACAGAUGAGGAGCUUGCUCCUCUGACGUUAGCGGCGGACGGGUGAGUAACACGUGGAUAACCUACCUAUAAGACUGGGAUAACUUCGGGAAACCGGAGCUAAUACCGGAUAAUAUAUUGAACCACAUGGUUCAAUAGUGAAAGACGGUUUUGCUGUCACUUAUAGAUGGAUCCGCGCCGCAUUAGCUAGUUGGUAAGGUAACGGCUUACCAAGGCAACGAUGCGUAGCCGACCUGAGAGGGUGAUCGGCCACACUGGAACUGAGACACGGUCCAGACUCCUACGGGAGGCAGCAGUAGGGAAUCUUCCGCAAUGGGCGAAAGCCUGACGGAGCAACGCCGCGUGAGUGAUGAAGGUCUUCGGAUCGUAAAACUCUGUUAUUAGGGAAGAACAAAUGUGUAAGUAACUAUGCACGGCUUGACGGUACCUAAUCAGAAAGCCACGGCUAACUACGUG
rnacentral:rRNA from 1 species